UACGUAGGGGGCAAGCGUUGUCCGGAAUCAUUGGGCGUAAAGCGCGUGUAGGCGGCUUGGUGUGUCCGGUGUGAAACCUUGGGGCUCAACCCCAAGCCUGCACCGGAUACUGCCUCGCUAGAGUCCGGGAGGGGAGAGCGGAAUUCCUAGUGUAGCGGUGAAAUGCGCAGAUAUUAGGAAGAACACCGGUGGCGAAGGCGGCUCUCUGGAACGGUACUGACGCUGAGACGCGAAAGCGG
rnacentral:rRNA from 1 species